rnacentral:misc_RNA from 1 species
UUUUGGCGAUCAAUACAGAGCAAUUGACACAGUUAUUAAGGGACCUGGGAAGCUCAAAUUAGUAUUUGAGGGAAAAGAAGAGGAACUAGAGCUACAGGUCUUCAAUUUCACAGGUGCUGGUGGAGUGGCCUUGUCUAUGUAUAAUACUGAUGAGUCAAUUCGUGCAUUUGCCGAGGCCUCGAUGAAUACGGCCUACCAGAAAAAAUGGCCUCUUUAUCUCAGCACCAAAAAUACGAUUCUCAAGAAGUAUGAUGGAAGG